rnacentral:rRNA from 1 species
GAGUUUGAUCUUGGCUCAGAACGAACGCUGGCGGCGUGGAUAAGACAUGCAAGUCGAACGGGAGAAUUGCUAGCUUGCUAAUAAUUCUCUAGUGGCGCACGGGUGAGUAACACGUGAGUAACCUGCCCCCGAGAGCGGGAUAGCCCUGGGAAACUGGGAUUAAUACCGCAUAGUAUCGAAAGAUUAAAGCAGCAAUGCGCUUGGGGAUGGGCUCGCGGCCUAUUAGUUAGUUGGUGAGGUAACGGCUCACCAAGGCGAUGACGGGUAGCCGGUCUGAGAGGAUGUCCGGCCACACUGGAACUGAGACACGGUCCAGACACCUACGGGUGGCAGCAGUCGAGAAUCAUUCACAA